rnacentral:lncRNA from 1 species
UUCCCUGGUUCUUCCUCUCUCUGUUUCUCAAUCUCCCCUGCUCUAAGAUGGCCAGAUAUGAAAAGCUGCCAAUCGGGAUGCCAGAACAUCAAAGAGAUCGCUCAUGAGAGCACACAAAGUCCCAUUUGUUCAGCACUUGGACGGAGAUGCCAGCAGCUUCCAGGCAGAGGGAGAAUCGAAGGUAAGCAUAUUUUCCUCAAAUAUAACCUGGUCUGCAGAGGUGCAGCUCUGACUUCAACAUCACCAUUAAUAACUUCAUCACCAAGCAAUUUUACCUUCUUGGAGCUGAAAUGUCAAGCAUCACCACUUGUGUGGAGGGACUUUGUAGAGCUAAAAAGCCUACUGGAGUUGUUUCAGAACAACAAAAAAACCACCCCCCAACAAUUGUUGAAGAGUAUUUCAUUUGUGUAAUAAAAGAGCUGAAAAAAAUAUUCCAAUUGAGCAUUCUCUGGACACCCACAGUCCCUUGGCCC